rnacentral:rRNA from 1 species
AGUGAACGCUGGCGGUAGGCCUAACACAUGCAAGUCGAACGGCAGCACAGAGGAGCUUGCUCCUUGGGUGGCGAGUGGCGGACGGGUGAGGAAUACAUCGGAAUCUACUCUGUCGUGGGGGAUAACGUAGGGAAACUUACGCUAAUACCGCAUACGACCUACGGGUGAAAGCAGGGGACCUUCGGGCCUUGCGCGAUUGAAUGAGCCGAUGUCGGAUUAGCUAGUUGGCGGGGUAAAGGCCCACCAAGGCGACGAUCCGUAGCUGGUCUGAGAGGAUGAUCAGCCACACUGGAACUGAGACACGGUCCAGACUCCUACGGGAGGCAGCAGUGGGGAAUAUUGGACAAUGGGCGCAAGCCUGAUCCAGCCAUACCGCGUGGGCGAAGAAGGCCUUCGGGUUGUGAAGCCCUUUUGUUGGGAAAGAAAUCCAGCUGGCUAAUACCCGGUUGGGAUGACGGUACCCAAAGAAUAAGCACCGGCUAACUUCGUGCCAGCCGCCGCAGUAA